CCCAGCACUCAGUCAGCUGACCAGCUGCAGUGUCUGGCUCAGUGUUACAGUGCUGGUAGAUGAAGUCUCUGUGCUGCUCUAGGCUCUGCAAGUUCUGUUUUAGAGUCUGCUGCUUGUGAGCUGCUACAGAGCCUGGCCCAACGAGAGUGGUCUGUCCUGAUCAUCAGCUGGGCAGGCCUAGUGUAGGGCCGCACAUU